AAGACGCUGCGCAGUGCGUGAUACAAUACUAAUUCCUCGGGCCGAUGCUUUUUCGUACGGGAGCGGUUCCUUUUUGGAUACUUAGUGUUUUGCCGCUUCGACCAAAAAUACUGCACCCACCUGGUCUUUCGGGCCAGAGCGAAUAGACAUGUACACGGCUGACGCGGCUUUCUU
rnacentral:other from 1 species